ensembl:lncRNA
CACCAGGGCAGAGUGUAGACUCUGCAAAACCAGAAUAUCCUAUCGUGCAGGCUCCACUAACAACCUGCACAGACGGAAGUGGUGCUAUUUAGUAAUAAAGGUUUUAUUCAUAAAGCAUUGUUAUGCUGCAUUUUACUCAUAAGUGCUUAACAAUGUCAAUAAUGAAACAAAAUGUUAUAAAAUUAGGUUUAAGCUAUUGAUUAAUUAAUAAUGUAAAACAUGUGUAUGGGGAGCCGUUUGGGAGCCGAAAGAGCCGGCUCUCCACAGUAAGAAGAGCCAUUAGAGCCGCAUCUCGCAAAGGAGCCGAAAAUCCCAUCACUAAUGUGUGUACAAGGAGUAGAGUAAAGGGCUCAGUACACAACCCUGUGGGGCCCCUGUGCCGAGUGACAGAGUGGGCAAAAGGUGCGGGCCCAUUCUGCAAUAUAAGAUAUUGAUUGUACAGGUAGUUUCCAGGCGACGUCACCUUUUAGCAUCGGCUCAGCUCGCUUGGAGCCUAGAGCGAGGCGGUACUAAAAAAAGCAGCCACUUCAGGUACCAGAUAGCAUGUUUUCACGGUGGAAACGCAAAAAAAUUCUCCUCGUUCGGUUGGUCUUAAAAUGGGAUAGAUUUUUCAUUAGUGCUCCUCGGUUGGUUUUAGGAUAGGAUAGAUUUCUCGUUGUUUUCGGUUGGUGUUAAGAUGGGAGAGAUUUUUUCCUUAGUGCUCCUCGGUUAGUUUUAAGAUGGGAUAGAUUUCUCGUUGUUCGGUUGGCGUUAAGAUGGGAUAGAUUUUUCGUUCGUGCUCCUCGGUUAGUUUUAAGAUAGGAUAGAUUUCUCGUUGUUCGUUUGGUGUUAAGAUGGGAAAGAUUUUCUCGUUAGUGCUCCGCAUUUGGUGCCUCAUAAGGCUAAAGAUUAAAGUUAGGGGUCGGGAUAGCCACUCGGGUUAAGGUUAGGGAAUAAGGCUAAAGGUUAAGGUUAGGAUUUAGAUAAGUGGUAGGGAUAGCCACUCGGGUUAAGGUUAGGGAAUAAGGCUAAAGGUUAAGGUUAGGAUUUAGAUAAGUGGUGGGGAUAGCCACUCGGGUUAAGGUUAGGGAAUAAGGCUAAAGGUUAAGGUAAGGAUUUAGAUAAGUGGUAGGGAUAGCCACUCGGGUUAAGGUUAGGGAAUAAAGCUAAGGGUUAAGGUUAGGAUUUAGAUUUAGAUAAGUGGU